rnacentral:rRNA from 1 species
GACGAACGCUGGCGGCGUGCCUAAUACAUGCAAGUAGAACGCACAGUUUAUACCGUAGCUUGCUACACCAUAAACUGUGAGUUGCGAACGGGUGAGUAACGCGUAGGUAACCUGCCUGGUAGCGGGGGAUAACUAUUGGAAACGAUAGCUAAUACCGCAUAAUAUUGAUUAUUGCAUGAUAAUUGAUUGAAAGAUGCUAUUGCAUCACUACCAGAUGGACCUGCGUUGUAUUAGCUAGUAGGUGAGGUAACGGCUCACCUAGGCGACGAUACAUAGCCGACAUGAGAGGGUGGUCGGCCACCCUGGGACGGAGACACGGCACAGACUGCCUCGGGAGGCAGCAGUAGGGAAUCUUCGGCAAUGGAUGAAAGUCUGACCGCGCAACGCCGCGGGAGUGAAGAAGGUUUUCGGAUCCUAAAGCUCUGUUGUAAGGGUAGAACGGGUGUGAGAGUGGAAAGUUCACACUGUGACGGUAUCUUACCAGAAAGGGACGGCUAACUACGUG